rnacentral:misc_RNA from 1 species
UAUCUGCUUGCAGUCUGGCAACGCCACGAAAGUCGAGUUGGCAUUUGAUUUGAUUGCUGCGUUCGGAUCGAAAAAAUUCCAUAUUUCAUUGUUUAACUCCCAAGAACGUCAGCAAACAAGUAACUUGUAUAAUAUUUUAAGUUAAAUACUGCCGAACACAGUGCCGUACCAAGUGCGUGUAAAUAAACAAGCGAUUUGUAUCCAACAUGUUGCACAACAAUGCGCCCUGGCUGCCACCGCAUCAGCAGCAGCAGCAGCAACAGGCGCCGCAGCAACAUCCUACUCCCCAGCAGCAACAUGCAAUGCCCCAACAGCAGCAAACUCAUCCUGCCCAGCAACCGCAGCAGCUCUAUGCCAGCCAAAUGUUCCAGCAACAGCAGCCAAAUUAUUGGCCAGAGGAUCAGCACCAACAGCACCAACAGCAGCAACAGCAGCCGCAACAAUCUCUGAACUACAAUAACUACUUUGCGGGACAGCAGCAGCAGCAGCAACAUCCUUUGCAGCAGCAGCAACUGCCACCGCAGCAGCAACAGCCUACGCAGCAGCAACACGCUAUGCAGCAGCAACUGUAUUAUCCCACUCACCAGCAGCCACAAGUCCCGGCUCCAGCGGAACCAGCUCUGGACUCGUUUGACAACAAUAAUAGCGGAGGAGGAGGUGGUGGCGGCCGGAGCGAUGGCUGGGGUGAUUGGGGCGAUUGGAACGACAAUAGCAACAACAAUAUUAGCAACGGCACCGAAAGCCUGUUAGAGCCAACUGGACAACUGCUGGAGGAUUCCUUCAAUGUGCAAUCUUCGCAAGGCAGUUGGCAGGCGUUUGCCACCAGCAAUAAUGUCAAUAACAAUGGCGAGCUGCCCUCAGCAGCGGAUCCGCAGGCAGCGCCCUUGCAACAACAGUCAUUCAAUGAGCAAUCGACACCUUUGUUGCACCAGCAGCCACAAUCGCCGCCGGAACUGGGGCAGGAACCCGAACUGGAUGCCAUUGUGCCUCCCCAGGCUUUCCAAAACCAGCCACCAACCGUAGCACCACCACCAACAUCACUGACUGCGUUCUCCGCACCAAUGACUGCUGUGGGAUCGCCAAUGUAUGCUUCUGCACAUAGCGCUGGAGUAGGAGCUUCGCCAGCACCUCCCACUGCAGUGGGAGCUCCGCCAGCACAUCUUACUGGAGUAGGAGCGCCACCAGCACAUCUUGCAGGACUAGGAGCUUCGCCAGCACCUCCCACUGGAGUGGUGGUUCCGCCAGCACAUCUUGCAGGAGUAGAAGCUUCCCCAGCACCUCUCGCUGGCGUGGGAGCUCCACCAGCACCCCUCAUUGGAGUAGGAGCUCCACCAGUGGGAGCACCGCCAGUGGACGCUACAACUAUUGCACCACCGGCCGCACUGCCACCUAGCUUGGCUCCAUCGUCUGGCAAUCCCUUCAAGCGCUCCACGGGUCUAAAUAAGCGAGUUAACAUUAUGGCCGAUCCUGCGGCAGGCGCUCCAUCGCCCCAGGCACCUGCUGCAAUGGCUCCAGUGGCACCAAUAGCAGCAAUUCCGCCACCAGCUGAGCAGCUCUUUGGUCUGCCAGCAGAGGCUCAUGGAGAUAGUUUCAACUUAAUGGCGGCGCCACCUGUUGAGGCUUCACUUGUAGCUCCACUAAGUGCAGCUAUUCCUGCACCCAUUCCUGUACCUACCGCAUCGCUGUAUGCCCCACCGGCUGUUCCACAGGCAUUUACGCCCUUGGAGCCGGACAACCAGGAGGUUUUGUCCGCGCCAAAUGACGAGCGGGCCCAGUACUUGCAGACCAGUCACCUGUCCGAGCAACUGGGCGAAGGCGAAGCUGAUCAGGAUGCAGGCCUGCUGCCACCACCGGGACUGUCUCGUUUGGUUUUGGGCCAACCGGAAUUGGAUUCGCAGCAGCAGCGCCAGGUCACGGGAGCCACAGAGCAGCCACCACUUAAUGUGGCCCAGGCAGCAGCUCUACACAUGCAAGAGCGUCGUGCAGAUGGCGAGGACACCUCUGACGGCGAGCAACAAGUACGUAAUAUACAGACGCCACCACGUCGCGUCGUAACUGGCGUGGAGACCAACGCCCCAUCGUUGAGAGAACAGCGGGAAGUGGUGCUGGAUGGCGAGAAUCUGGAGGAUCGCGAAGCUAUACCGCCACCAACUUUGGCUGAACAGCCAACCACUUCAGUACAUCACAAUAUUCUACCCGAUGAGCCGGAGCAGCUGCAUCACAGCAAUCCGCCCCAGGCGAUGACUCCGCUUAAUCCGCAGCAACCACAUCAGCAGCAGCCACUGCUGCAGCAGCAGCACCAGCAACAUGCAACCCCUCAGCAGGAGAAGAAACGUACGGCGGUCGGACGCCGAACCACAGCCUCGCUGGAUCUGGAGUCCGAUGAGUCUGACGAGUUUCUGCAGAGCGAAAGGGAACGCGAUCGGGAGCGUGAGCGCAGAGACCUAAUGGAGGAGAGGCAAGGUCGUGGUCGCAGCCAUGGUCAUUACCCCUACGAAGGCGAAACGGAGGACUCUGUGCGUGGUGCUACCCACCACGAGACGAAAUCCCUAAGGGAAACACAUCACAAACGUAACCACGAAUCGACGCGCUCUCGCCGCCAUCAGGAUUCCAAGGUGGAACGCGAAAGGGAACGGGAUAGGGAGCGUGAUCGCACAUGGCGCCGACGAUCCAACAAGUAUCACAGUGGUGGCGAGGAUCCCGAUCGUUCGUACGAUCAUUCGCGUCGUUACAACAACAGCAAUUACGAUGGUGAGUCCGAUAAUCCGGAGUAUAGUCACCUGGGCGAUGCCGAGCUGGACGGCAGCGGUGGUCGGAGCAGUAAAACCAGUCGCCAUCGACGCAGUGCCGCCGAGGAGGAUUUCGAUGAUUACGAACGGGAUCGCAAUCGAUCCCGUCGCUCAACCAAACCACAAUCGUCCGCUGAAAAGUCACGCUCCUCUGGCGGACGACGGAAUUACGAGAAUACGGGUCGUGGUGCCCGUACCGAUGAUGGUCGCCGACGUUAUCAGGACCAGCGUAAUCCUGGUGCUCAGUAUCCCGUAUCAGCCACUGGCUAUGUUCCCUACGGAAUGUACGAGCAAAUGUCGCGGAAUCCACAAGUCUACGCUGAUAUGUAUGCGAAGUUCUAUGGCCAAAUGAUCAACUCGAUGAACGCUGCUGUUACGGCGGCUGCCUCUAAGGGCGGUGUUCCCGCUGGAGCUGGAGUCAUACCCGGUUUGGUGCCCGGCACGGUGCCCGUGAGUGCCGCCCAGUUGGUGGCCGCCACCAGCGGAGGAAGUGUCAGCGGAAGCAGUGAUGCCGCCAUGCUCAGGGAACGAGAAAGAGCUGCUGCCGAGGCGGCACCUUCGACUUAUGGAGGCGUGGCUGGAACCGCUGGAACGGUGACCACUAACGCGGUGGCUCGUCCGCCGCGCAGACGCACUCCCUUGCAGUUCAAUCGACCGCAUUUGGUGGCCUCGUAUGCGAUGAGUCUGCUGCUGAAGGUGAAGCCCAAGUACGCGGGACGCGGACGACUGCGCAACGAUGUGGAGGUGGCGCCACCGCGCAUACGGGACGGAACGAGCAGCCUGCUGCGCAUGUAUCCGGGUCCGUUGCAGGGUCGCAAGUUGCACAAGGACAAGAUCAUCAGCUUCUGCAAGGAGCAGAUCCGACUGGGACCCACAAAGGGUUGCACCGCACUCUAUGCCACGCAGAAGAAGCCCCAAGGCAGUGUGGCUAAAUACCGUGCCUCCCAUGCGCUCAUGUGGCAUCUGCUUAUACUGUUGCUGCGCCAAAAUGGGUACAUUGCGGACACGGAUGUGGGCGAUCUGCUGCUGGAGAACCAGCAAGAGUAUCCAUACGAUCCCAGCGAGUUCGAACCAGAGAACGAACCAGACGUGGACGCCGAACAGGAUGUCGCUGCACCAGCGGACAAGGCAGGAGAUUCGGAUUUGGAUAGCGAAUCGGCAGCAGGAGUUACGCCUGCAGAACCACUUGCAGCGGGUGCCGCAACGAGCUCAUCCAAUGGCGCUGAUGCUGCGAACGCAGCGCAGACAGGACAGACGCCUCUGUCGGAACAGGCGGCAACGGACAAGUUCCGCAGCUAUGUGUUGCGCGGAAAUGUCGAGGAGGCUCUCCAGUGGGCCGCCGAUAACAACCUGUGGACGCAUGCAUUCUUUUUGGCCCUCUACGAGGAUCGCUAUGCUCUCACAGAUGUUGCCCAGAAGUUUCUCAAUCGAGCGAUCAAGGCGAACGAUCCAUUGCAGACACUCUACCAAAUGAAGAGCUGCCACACGCCGGCGUGCGUCAGCCAGCUGCGGGAUGAACAGUGGGGCGACUGGCGGUCGCAUCUCUCCAUUCUGGUGACGAACAAGAGUCGCCAGCCGGAGUAUGAUCGCAGUUCGGUAGUGGCCCUCGGCGAUACGCUGUUCCAGCGCGGCGAUAUUUAUGCGGCACACUUUUGCUAUCUGGUGGCUCAGGAGGAGUUCGGGCGAUACGACAGCUCUGCCACCGAGCUCACUACUCUGACCGCCAAUGUGCCCAGGCUUAUCCUGCUGGGCUCCUCGCAUUACAAGCACUUCAAUGAGUUUGCCAGCAACGAGGCCAUCAUCAUGACCGAGAUCUAUGAGUAUGCUCGAUCGCUGUUCGAUCCGAAGUUUAGCAUUGCCCACUUCCAACACUACAAGUUCCUGCUGGCCACAAGGAUCCUUGAUUAUGGCCAGCAUUUCCGCUGCACCAAUUAUUUGGAACAAAUCGCCAGGCACAUCGAACUGAAGCCAGAAAGCUACGACAGUGAUUUCAUUCAGCGGGUUUGUGGUUUGGCCGAACGUCUGCGCUAUCAUGAUCCCAUUCUUAUCAAUCGUGUAUCUUUUGCGAGUCCUCCGAAUGCCACCAGCAAGGAUAGUGCUGCUCCCGAAGAGAAAGCCUGGUUGCGCCAGCUGAGAUCUCUGGCCAAUGUGCAGCCCCAACAGGAGCAACUGCAACAGCUGCAGCAGCAUCAGCAAAUCCAGCAGGAGCAAAACGACAUCGAUCAGCAGUUUGCAGAGGUGAAUAAGCAAUUCAGGGAGCUAAACAUGCAAUACGAGAGCCACAGCAACAUAGAGAAUACGCUGCAAUCGCAAUUGCAACCGGUGGAUCAACAGCCGCCACAGCAGCAGCAGCAGCAAGUUUUAUCGGAAGCGCACCAACAGCCACCGCCACCACAACAAUAUUAUGAGCCACCACCUCAAGCGCCAACUGAAACGGAUCCCUAUGGACAGGGCCAACCAUCCUACUAUGAUCCCAAUGCGGGGCAGCAUCAAUACGAUCCCAAUGCGGGCCAGCUUCAUUACGAUCCAAAUGCUGCACAUCAUCAAUACGACCAGCAAUCUCAAGCGCAACCUACUCCCAGUUAUGGCCAAAUAGAGCCAGGAACUGAGGCCUACCAACCUGGACAGACAACAGCAGAUCCAGCUGCGGCUGCCUCUGGCUACGGAUACGAUUACUGGUCGGGCACACAGCAGCCACCAUAUGGCGAUGAGCUGCAGCAGCAGACGCGCCCGGCGAUAUCCAUGCCCAAAUCAAAGAGCUAUGGAGAUGAGGACGAUGGUGGUUCCGGCGGUAUGUCUGAUCCUGGCCAGAAAGCCAAGCUUGGAGGCUCCUCUGAGGCUGCUGGCAAACAGCAGGCGUCGGGCAAACAGGCCAACUCUGGCAGCGAUCUUGGCGCACCUGGAAAUAAGAAUGCGGGCUGGUUCGGCGGACUCUGGAACAAGCUGUCGCUCAAGCCGAAGAACCAAAUGAUCCUGCCGGAUGACAAGAACCCGGCCAUCGUCUGGGACAAGGAGCGCAAAUGCUGGACCAACACCGAGGGCAGCGGCGAGGAGGCGGAGAGCUUUAAGCCGCCACCCAAAAUGAGUGAUCUGGGCAUGGCUCUCGGAGGUCCACCCGCCGCGCCAGUCGCAAACGCCGGACUGGGAAUGGGUCUAAUGCCGAUGGCCAACAAUUCGCUGGGCAGCCAUCAAUCGGCACCGCUGAUGGAUCAGCCACCGCCGUCGCAGCCGCAAAUGUAUGGCAGUCCCAUUGAUUACACGGCUGCUCCGGCACCCGAAUUGAUACCCACGGUGCCAUCGCCGGCGCCGGCGCCACUUUCUGUCCCAUCACCUGCACCGGCGGCAUCAGCGGCGCCCAAUCCCGCGGCCGCUCCCGGCGGACCGCAGCCCAAGCUGCAGUCGAACAUGUUCAAGAUGCAACGCAACCGAACGCUGAAGAACUCCUACGUGGAUGUGUUCAAUCCAUCGGGUGCGCCAAUGUCGGCGGCGCCGGAGAAUGUGCUGGCCCCCAUGAUGGCGCCGGCUGCGGUGCCGCAAGGUGGUUUCUUUGUGCCCCAGUCGUAGGGAAUCUGAGAUGGGACUGGCCGGUACCGAAGCCCCGGGAUCUGGAGCAGCUGGUGUGCGUGGACAGUUGAAGGAGGAGGAGGAUGUGUGAAUGUGUAAAAAGGGCUGCCCCAAAUACCAGCGAGAUCGGCACUUCGAAACUACGUAAAAAAAA